CUUGAAGUGAUGAGUUGAAUGUACCGCCCCAGACUGACUUUCUUGUGACUGAGUGGUACUCAUCUUCUGAUCCACA